rnacentral:rRNA from 1 species
GUAAAAGUCGUAACAAGGUCUCCGUUGGUGAACCAGCGGAGGGAUCAUUACAGGACUCGCAAGACUCCUUCACCCUGUGAACCUCACUACAAGCACGUUGCUUCGGCGGGUGUCCCGGCGGGGGUUUUCCCUCGCCGGGGCGCACAGCCCGCCGGCAGCCUACUAUACUCUGUCUCUUUGCGUUGGCAUCUCGAGAAAAAACAAACAAGUUAAAACUUUCAACAACGGAUCUCUUGGUUCUGGCAUCGAUGAAGAACGCAGCGAAAUGCGAUAAGUAAUGCGAAUUGCAGAAUUCCGUGAGUCAUCGAAUCUUUGAACGCACAUUGCGCCCGCCAGCAUUCUGGCGGGCAUGCCUGUUCGAGCGUCAUUUCAACCCUCAGGCCCUGCCUGGCGUUGGAGGACUGCGCACGCAGCCUCCCAAAGCGAGCGGCGGCGGCGCCCCGAAACCGAACGCAGUAGUUACUUCUCGUUCUGGGUCCGGGUCGUUGUCCUGCCGGAAAACCCCCCUCUAAUCAAUGGUGACCUCGAAUCA